AAAGGACUAGUUAAUAAUAUAACAUAAAAAUGUCAUUUUUAAAUAACUUCAAUGUGUCCUUUA
rnacentral:tRNA from 1 species